UAGGUGGUUCAUUAAGUUGGAUGUGUAAUCCCACGGCUCAACCGUGGAACUGCGUUCAAAACUGAUGAACUAGAGAGCAGUAGGGGACAAGGGAACUUCAGGUGGAGCGGUGAAAUGCGUAGAUAUCUGAAGGAACACCGAUGGCGAAAGCACUUGUCUGGGCUGAUUCUGACACUGAGGAACGAAAGCUAGGGUAGCGAACGGGAUUAGAUACCCCGGUAGUCCUAGCCGUAAACGAUGGAUACUAGCUUGUGGGAUCUUCGGAUUUCACUUGCGUAGCUAACGCGUUAAGUAUCCCGCCUGGGGAGUAUGCACGCAAGUGUAAAACUCAAAGGAAUUGACGGGGGCUCACACAAGCGGUGGAGCAUGUGGUUUAAUUCGAAGCUACGCGAAGAACCUCACCCAGGUUUGACAUGGAUGAAUUAGGUCUGAGAAACCAGACUGACACCCUUCGGGGCGGAACAUUCACAGGUGUUGCAUGGCUGUCGUCAGCUCGUGUCGUGAGAUGUCGGGUUAAGUCCCUUAACGAGCGAAACCCUUAUCGUUAGUUGCCAGCGAGUAAUGUCGGGGACUCUAGCGAGACUGCCGGUGUUAAACCGGAGGAAGGUGGGGAUGACGUCAAGUCCUCAUGGCCUUUAUGUCUAGGGCUGCACACGUCCU
rnacentral:rRNA from 1 species